rnacentral:rRNA from 1 species
CAAUAGCGUAUAUUUAAGUUGCUGCAGUUAAAAAGCUCGUAGUUGGAUUUCUGGUGGGAGCGGCCGGUCCGCCGUAAGGUGUGUACUUGGUUGUCUCCUGUCAUCCUUGUGGGAACUGCUCUGGCAUUAAGUUGUCGGGGUUAGGGAACACAUCGUUUACUGUGAAAAAAUUAGAGUGUUUAAAGCAGGCUUAUGCCGUUGAAUACAUUAGCAUGGAAUAAUAAGAUAGGACUUUGGCGUCUAUUUUGUUGGUUUGCACACCAAGGUAAUGAUUAAUAGGGAUAGUUGGGGGUAUUCGUAUUUAAUUGUCAGAGGUGAAAUUCUUGGAUUUAUGAAAGACGAACUUCUGCGAAAGCAUUUACCAAAGAUGUUUUCAUUAA